rnacentral:rRNA from 1 species
GACGUAGGGGCGAGCGUUGUCCGGAAUUACUGGGCGUAAAGAGCACGUAGGCGGGAACCUAAGUCAGGUGUGAAAGACCGUGGCUCAACCACGGGGUGGCAUUUGAAACUGGGUUUCUUGAGGGCAGGAGAGGAAAGCAGAAUUCCUGGUGUAGCGGUGAAAUGCGUAGAAAUCAGGAGGAAUACCAGUGGCGAAGGCGGCUUUCUGGACUGACCCUGACGCUGAGGUGCGAAAGCGUGGGUAGCAAACAGGAUUAGAUACCCGCGUAGUCCCUGAG